GAUGAACGCUAGCGGGAGGCUUAACACAUGCAAGUCGAGGGGCAUCACGAGGUAGCAAUACUUUGGUGGCGACCGGCGCACGGGUGAGUAACACGUAUGCAACCUUCCCUGUACAGGGGGAUAACCCGGAGAAAUUCGGACUAAUACCCCAUGAUGAUAUUUAUGGGCAUCCAUUGAUAUUUAAAGCUCUGGCGGUACAGGAUGGGCAUGCGCGACAUUAGCUAGUUGGUAAGGUAACGGCUUACCAAGGCUACGAUGUUUAGGGGACCUGAGAGGGUUGUCCCCCACACUGGUACUGAGACACGGACCAGACUCCUACGGGAGGCAGCAGUGAGGAAUAUUGGUCAAUGGGCGCAAGCCUGAACCAGCCAUCCCGCGUGAAGGAAGAAUGCGCUACGCGUUGUAAACUUCUUUUCCAGGGGGAGAAUAAUCCUGUCGUGACAGGACUUGACGGUACUCUGGGAAUAAGCAUCGGCUAACUCCGUG
rnacentral:rRNA from 2 species